rnacentral:rRNA from 1 species
UACGUAGGUGGCAAGUGUUGUCCGGAAUUAUUGGGCGUAAAGCGCGCGCAGGCGGCCUUUUAAGUCUGAUGUGAAAUCUUGCGGCUCAACCGCAAGCGGCCAUUGGAAACUGGGAGGCUUGAGUACAGAAGAGGAGAGUGGAAUUCCACGUGUAGCGGUGAAAUGCGUAGAUAUGUGGAGGAACACCAGUGGCGAAGGCGACUCUCUGGUCUGUAACUGACGCUGAGGCGCGAAAGCGUGGGGAGCAAACAGG